rnacentral:rRNA from 1 species
GAUGAACGCUGGCGGCGUGCUUAACACAUGCAAGUCGAACGAUGAAGCCCAGCUUGCUGGGUGGAUUAGUGGCGAACGGGUGAGUAACACGUGAGUAACCUGCCCCUAACUCUGGGAUAAGCCUGGGAAACUGGGUCUAAUACCGGAUAGGAGCGUCCACCGCAUGGUGGGUGUUGGAAAGAUUUAUCGGUUUUGGAUGGACUCGCGGCCUAUCAGCCUGUUGGUGAGGUAAUGGCUCACCAAGGCGACGACGGGUAGCCGGCCUGAGAGGGUGACCGGCCACACGGGGACUGAGACACGGCCCAGACUCCUACGGGAGGCAGCAGUGGGGAAUAUGGCACAAUGGGCGCAAGCCUGAUGCAGCGACGCCGCGUGAGGGAUGACGGCCUUCGGGUUGUAAACCUCUUUCAGUAGGGAAGAAGCGAAAGUGACGGUACCUGCAGAAGAAGCACCGGCUAACUACGU